rnacentral:rRNA from 1 species
AUUGAACGCUGGCGGCAGGCCUAACACAUGCAAGUCGAGCGGAUGAAGGGAGCUUGCUCCUGGAUUCAGCGGCGGACGGGUGAGUAAUGCCUAGGAAUCUGCCUGGUAGUGGGGGAUAACGUCCGGAAACGGGCGCUAAUACCGCAUACGUCCUGAGGGAGAAAGUGGGGGAUCUUCGAACCUCACGCUAUCAGAUGAGCCUAGGUCGGAUUAGCUAGUUGGUGGGGUAAAGGCCUACCAAGGCGACGAUCCGUAACUGGUCUGAGAGGAUGAUCAGUCACACUGGAACUGAGACACGGUCCAGACUCCUACGGGAGGCAGCAGUGGGGAAUAUUGGACAAUGGGCGAAAGCCUGAUCCAGCCAUGCCGCGUGUGUGAAGAAGGUCUUCGGGUUGUAAAGCACUUUAAGUUGGGAGGAAGGGCAGUAAGUUAAUACCUUGCUGUUUUGACGUUACCAACAGAAUAAGCACCGGCUAACUUCGUG